rnacentral:lncRNA from 1 species
UCGUUUUCUAAAUUGUUGCCAAAAAAUUUUGCUUCGUUUUUUAACUAUAGCUUUCACCAUAGUCAUAUCCAUAAUACUGUUAUAUGAUUUCACAAAACCUCCACAUAAAUGUCUAAUUUUUUAGCAAAUCAUGGAACCAUAAUGAAUAUUCAACCCAGCUAGAUUGACAAUCAUCUCCCCUUCUUCUCUUAUCUCGACAUCCCAAAAUAUUUGUCCACCUCGUAACCAGAAAUAAGCCUCCCAAAUGAUCAAAUAAACACAUCAAGUAUCUUCUU